UACGUAGGUGGCAAGCGUUGUCCGGAUUUAUUGGGCGUAAAGCGCUCGCAGGCGGCCUGAUGCGUCGUGCGUGAAAUCCCUCGGCUCAACUGGGGGUGGUCGUGCGAUACGGUCAGGCUUGAGGCCAGUAGGGGGACGCGGAAUUCCGGGUGUAGUGGUGGAAUGCGUAGAGAUCCGGAGGAACACCAGCGGCGAAGGCGGCGUCCUGGACUGGUACUGACGCUCAGGAGCGAAAGCGUGGGGAGCGAUCAGG
rnacentral:rRNA from 1 species